GGGCGCUUAGCUCAGCCUGGUUAGAGCACCUGCCUUACAAGCAGGGGGUCGGAGGUUCGAGUCCCCCAUCGCCCACCA
rnacentral:tRNA from 1 species